UUACACUUUCUCAUUCGUUCAUUGGGCAGUGCAACCUUUUCACUUUCUCUCUCUUGUUGGGCAGCGCACUCACUUUGUCGAAUUCUUUGACUGGUCACCCUCUCUCACAUGUCACACGCUCCUUCACUCCUCACAAUUUCAAAAUCCCUAAAACACUCACCCUAAUCCAUCAUUUACACUGCAUUCUUCUCAAAUCUAUACCAACAAUCGGAAAAAUCGUCAACAGCAACCAACACAACAUCAACUUCGCCCCCUACGACACCACAUCGCGCGCCCUAUGCCGCAACCUCGCCUCUGAGAUGCUCCACCCCUCACAUGUCAGCUCGAAGUUUGGGUUGAACGCACUUUACGACUCCGUGAACGGCGGAGGUGAUGUUUGGAUCAACGAGAACCGCUUCCGUAUCGUGCGCCAGCUCGAAGAAGGUGGCUUCGCCUAGAUGCAUGUACCGUGUCUGCCUCUCUGCAAUCUACAGCCAAAAUGGCGAUUCCUCUCCCUCUCUUUUUCACUCUACGCUACUUCUUCUCUUUCAUAUUGUCGUAUUUUAACUGCGUUUUCUCUGUUUCUUGUUCAGCCUUUCAAGAGGUAUGUUGAGAUCGGGAGGGUUGCCCAAAUCAACUACGGCAAGAAAUAUGGCAGGCUCGUCGUCAUUGUCGAUGUCAUUGACCAGAACAAAAUGUUAAGACCAAGUGAGAGAAGAGUUCAUGGGGCAUGAAACUCAUUGUCAGAAAGAGAAGGACAUCCCUCAAUGAUUUUGAUAGGUUCAAGAUAAUGUUGGCCAAGAUCAAGAGGACAGAGGUUUUAAUUUAAGCAUUUGCAGGGCUUGUUUUGGAACCACUAAAUAUUGUCAUGCAUGGCUCAUAAACAUGGUUUGAAAAUUACUAAUUCCUUAUGAAUUAUAAUUUGUUCUUUCAUUAGUUAAAGCUUGAUUGGGGAUAGAUCUUGAUGACCAGCCUUGCAGCAAUCCCGAUUGUCUAUAUCUUCAUGAGAUUGACUAUUAAGAGGAUAGUUUCACAAAAUAUGAAAUAAUUUCAGCAUACACUAGAAUAAGGUUCAAGAAUGACCUUGUGUAAGCACUCACUCCAAUGGCUUACCUCAAUAGCAGAUGAUUAGCUAUUUGGAAAAAUCCUAUCAUGUUGCUGCAACUCUAAACCUAAUGAACUUCUGCUUAUCAUGUUGCUGACUCGCAUACUAGUUUCGGGUUAGGUGUUUUAAGGUUUUCAUGUAUUGUUGAGGUGCAGGGGAAUUGAUGAUGUGGUGGAGAGAAUAUAUUGAGCCUGAAAAGACAGUAUUUCUUUAUUAGUACUAAUGUAGAUAAUAUUGUAAUAUUGUUAUUAUAAAUUGAUUUUCAUAUUAUAUAAUAAUAUUUAUUGAUUAUUAGCAA